CUCAGAAAGCUCAGGUGUACUGGCCAAGUCUGGGAGAGGGGGUGCUACCUUCACACAUCUCAGAGAUGCCAAGUUUACAUCCAGCCUCUGACCUCUGCUGGAAAUCCUUUUACACAGCAUCCCCUUGCUGGCACUGUCACCCAAAUCAUGGAGCCAUGGAGCCAUGGAGCCACGGAGCCACUUCUCAUGUGAGUGCUCCUGAGACUACGGGUGAAGGGAAGGCCCUUUUGUCCAAAGAAUCAGGGAGCCCCUCUCCUGCUUCGAGACAGGUGCCUGCCAGGGACACAGGUGGUGCGUGCCCCAUGAUUGGUGGAGUCUGGCUUUGAUCGAAUUGCUGGUUUGUCUCCUAUUUGCCUCCCAUUCUCACCUGGAACCAAGCUUCGAUUUAUUGGAGAUCACUGUGAGAAUACCUCCGGCAAGUUCAGGGAUAAGAAUUCUCAGCCUUCUGAAGUCCUACAGGGUAUCUUUCUCAGGGUAUGGCAUGCUGACCAAGCAGAGUCUGAGGGCAAGGCAGUCGGGUAGGCAGGUCUCUGAAACCCAUGGGUCACAUGACCUCACUGACCUCAAAGAAGCCCCAUUUGCUAUUGCACUUGCCCUUAACUUCCCUUAACUUCCCACAUCUCCAUCUCUCCCUUCUGGGAUCAGAACCAUGGCCAAGUGGUGGUGUCACGAUCAUCAGGUCCCUGUCAUACCCAUGGAAGAAACCACUGUCUCACGGCACUGAGUGUUAUCAGUUGAACCAUUCAGGAACACAGGGCUCAUGGGAAGCAGAGGGGGACCUGACUGGGGCACGUCGUGUCCUGUGUGUAGCAGUAUAAAGGUUUUCUCUAGGGAAACCACCUCCUGUCCCUCACAUAAUCCAGGGUGUUAUAUGUGCCUCAACUGGUCAGGUUGAGCCUGCCAUGAGUCCACUGAAACUGGUUUAGGACCAGGACUUUAAAGCCCACCGGUAGCCACCAGGUCCUUGGACUUUGGCUGGGGCCACCGAGAUGAUUUUUCUAGCUGGAUUUAAUUUGGGAGAUGGGUCCCUGUGGCAAGGCAAGAAUGGCUGGGGAGGAGUGAACGAAUUACCCUCAGAGGUGAGGCCGGAGCUGGAGAACCCCAGUGACUCGCAUUCCCUGGCCUCAGGUGGCUGCUGGAACUGGUGUGGGUCUAGGCAGGAGGGGUGGGAUGACUGGUCAUCUGGGAAGGAAAUGAUGAAGGCUGAGUUCUGGAACCAUCUUACCAGCACGUGGAAUCUAAGAAGCUCUCUGACACAGCCUCCGUGCCAUUGAUGGAGUCUCUGGAUCCAGACAUACCCGAGGCUAAUACACCUUAAGAUUGUUCAGAAAUUUGAGCCCGUAUACACUCCUUCACACGAGUCAGAUCAGGUGAGCCCUCUAUUGCAGCUGUGGAGCUCUCUCUCUGUACCACUCUGCCUGUGUGGAGGGUGGGCAACUGUCUCCACCAUCACCGGGACUAUUCUGAAGUAUGGGUUAUCUGGACCAGAGAGCUCCCGGGGCAGGGUGGUAAGCACGUCACAGGAAUUGGCUCUGUUACAUCUCGCAACACUCCCAGGAGGCCUGACUAUGGACUAGAGUCUCUGGACACUCAGGGACCCCAAAGAGCAAAUCACCAUUGAUCUUUCCUGAGCCCCACCCUCUAAGUCCAGAUCUGCAGGAAGCUAAAGAUGUAUGUCCCAGAUGGUGGAGUUGGUUUGAAUGUGGGUUCCAAGACCUGGUAGCUAUGGUCAGUCAUGUCCCAGCACCUUGGUAUUCUUACCUAUAUAAGGGAGAGAUGAGUCAGUCAGCUAAGCGAUUGCCAUUGAAGCUUAAGGACUUGAGUUCAAGCCCCAAAGCCCAUGUUUUUGCAAAAAGCCAUGGGGCUGGAGAGAUGGCUCAGCGGUAAAGAUUGUUGGCUGCUCUUGAGGAAGACAUAGGCUCAGUUCUUAGCACCCACAUGGUGGCUUGUGACCACUUGUAAUUCCAGUUCCAGAGGUUCGAUGCCAUCUCCUGACUUUCACAGGCACCGGUCAUGCACCUGGCACACAAACAUGCCUGUGGGCAAAAUGCUCUCACAUAAAAUAAAAUAGACUGAUGCUUAAAAAGCCAGGUGCGGUGUUGCCAGGGUAACAGGAAACAGUAUUGGAACAAGCCCUAGCCUUUCAAACUGGGGCUUGGGAUAGCCCAGGCCUCGCUCUCAAAACAGUGUCAAUGUCUCAAAAUAUCGCUACAAAGUCUCCUACCUUCUUAUAGAACCACUAGUUGGAAUAACAAACUGAUUCCGACUCUACCUACUUGGGAGUUAAUGUGUGAAGACAGAUGCUCACAUGAGCCACUUUAUACGUUUUUUUUUUUUUUUUCCCCCAAACACUGAGGAGGAGGCAUGGUCAUCUCAAGGUAUGAGAUAACCACAAGGAAUUGCAGGGCUUUCAAAGUAGUAACUGGGAACCAUUCCUUACCAAUUGCAAACACAAUCUCAGGGAAGAUUCUUGGCUAGCUCCCAAGACAAAGGGACAUUUUCUCAGGAACGAGUUCAUCAGCCUCUGUGAACUCGGGCGUCCUUCCUGGGCCUCACCUGCCACACACCACCUGACUGUGUGGGAUUCUCUGGGGCCACAAGGUUCAUGUCUCACCUGGAUGGUGAGGGAGCCCCGGUCUUUCAAGCGCUUCUCUGGUGAUUGCUGGUCACCGCUUUGCCUGGGUGCUCUGUGCAGUUUAACGGGUGCAUGGAAGAUGGCAGGGACCUUGGCAAGCACAUGGCUCUUGCUUCUCCCCCUGUAAACAGGCUGAUGAAGCGGAAGCAGGGAUCAUGCAGGCCGACUUAUCCUCCACUUCAGCUAGCAAAACCCAACCAGGAGAGGGUGUGGGGGGGUCCACGUUGCCCCGUGACAUCCAAUGCAGGUCUGGCUCCCUGGGCAGUGUCUGCUUUUUAUGGUCUUGAUCUUCCUAACAAGUCUCUGGGUGGGAGCUCCUUCUGGGCUGGAAAGGAGACCUGGAUUUAGUUAGUCAGAGUCCCUGCCUUCUGUGCAGAGUCUCCAGUUGGCAGAAAAGGAGGGGAAGGGGUUUUAAGCAGGGGAUUCCAUGAGGCUGGGGCUUGGGUCACCUCCCCCUGCUCUGGGAGGAUGCCUCUGUAAGGUCCUGUUAAAGACACUAACCCCAAUUCUCCCCUGGCUGACAAGCAGGCAGGUUGCCCAGACCAGGAGAAGUUAUAGGAUUUUUAUGCUCCAGCAACCAUAAUAGUGAGAUCCCAGCAGUGGUUUUAGAGGGGCUUAUGGGGAAAUUGGGUUGUUUUUUAUUUUAUUUUAUUUUUUUAUUUAAAAUGUGAAGGUGAAGUAUCAUCAUGGAAGUUAUUGUGGCCCUUAACAGUUCAUGUCCUGAAAGUGUGACUGGAGUUAACAAAGCCACUACAGGGCAGGGUUCAGAUUAGAAAACAUGGUUCUUCUUUUUGUUAUUUCCCUUUUUAAGCCCCUCAUUCUCUUCAUCCUUUCUCCCGUGGCUUCUGUAGCUCACUGAUAACCCAUAAGCCUCCUCGGGUAAUCACAGCUGCAAAACUAAUGACACAGGCAAAGCGGGAGCCACGCCCUCUGCCGGGAUGCUGCAUGGGCACCCCUGCUUCAGAGCCCCCGCAGGGAGUGCCAGCUUGUUCCUCCUCUUCCCUCACCCAUGGGGUUUCAUGUGGUGAAUACCAGCAAGGAUCAAGACACGGGGAGGGGACGGGGCAUGCCUGUAAUCCUGGAUCAAGACACGGGGGAAUGGUGGGGCAGGCCUGUAAUCCCAGCUGCCAAGGUGGCAGCAGGAGGAUUGAAAGUUCAAGGCCGAGGAAGAUGCUGUCAGAAAAUAAAAAUAUAAGCGGUUUGGGAUGUAGUUCAAUUGCGGAAUGCUUGCCUGGUGUACAGGAGGCCUUGGGUUCAAUCUAUGGUUCUGAGGUAAGAGGCGGAGAAGAAGGAGAGGGAGGGGCCAUCUGUCUUCACUGCUGUCUCCUAAAGGUAGUGGCUGGUGCCAACACUUCAGGCAGCAACAAGGUGAGUUCCCAAGUCCCAGCACUGCUUCAAAAUGUCAUUUCUCCUAUGGGCUCUGAGGACAAAGAUGGGGAGGUGUGUGUAGCCUGCUAGGAGCUCCUCCAUUCCAAAGAACUGGCUGCCUCCAGUUUGCUCCAAGCAUCUCUUGGACAUUGCUCUGAAAGACUGAGAGGGGGCGGCACAGAGUCUCAAAGCUACUAGGUAGCUCUGGUUCUAGAUGCUGUUGCCCCUAAUAUUGGCAAAGUUGCCUGAGGAACAAUAAUGGAGAAGGAAUGGUAUCCCUGUUACUGUGGCCAUUUACGCAGCCUGGGCUCCCUGCCUUGUCUCUGCGUCCUGGCCCCACCUGACUGCGAGCCACCUUCUCAGUCUCAGUUCUGGUGCUGAUAUCCCUGUAACCCCUUGUUUCCUAUGAACACAACCCUACUUCUGGCACCAAAUGUCUCCAUGGUUCACAGAUCACGCAGUUACCAGACACAUUCUGUACAGCCCUCAGCCUGCUUGUCAGCUGCCCUUCCCACUCUGCCUCAGUGUCUAGAAUUUCACCGCAUCCCACCUACUCAUGAAAUAUCAGCUCCACCAUCCUUGCAGUUUUCCUUCUCUUCCAACCAAAGAGAAUGUUGUUCUCCUAAGACCUCACACGCAAAGUCUAGGGUAGUCCAGACUCAUCUCCCUCAUCUGUGGGCUGGAGCCCACAUACCUCCCUCUAAACCAAGGCUUCCCAAGAUCAGGAUCUAAGCCAGAGGAAAACUUCACCCAACUGUAGGCAAUGAGCAGUUGAAUGACUGGCUGGUGAAACACACUGGCCCUUGAGGCUGGUGAAUGGAUGUCUUGUCUGUUUAGCAUGAACCCAUGACUGGGAGGCUCUGUGCUGGUGUUGGGCAUUGCUUUUGCAGUGAGUGACCCACAGUGUCCCAGUGUCCGAGUGACCCACAGUGUCCCAGUGACCCAGUGACCCAGUGAAUGGCUUAGAUACUGGACACCCACUGAUCACUCUCUUUCUCUCUCUGGAAACUUCUCCAGCAGGGUCCUCUAGAAUUGCUUUCCCUGUGGGAGCACAGCAAGACGCUUUGCUCUGGUCUCUCAUACACUGUCUCUGUUCUCUUCUUUAUAAGAAACCGUGGCUUGUGGUACUCUUUCCAGGGUCCUAGGAAUCUCUUCACAGAGUUCUGUUGUCCAUUUCUAAGUGGACACAAACACACACACAGACAUACAUUCAUACAUGCAUGCAUGUACACACACAUGCAUGUACACAAGUGCACAUGCACACACACAUGCACAUACACACAUGCACAUUCACAUACCCAUGCAUACACUCACACAUGCACACACAUGUACACAUACAUGCACAUAUGCACACACACACACACGCACACACAUGAGUGCUCAGCCUCCUUGGUUAGAGAACCACAGCUCUCGCAUACUGUUUGUUUUCAAG